rnacentral:rRNA from 1 species
CCUACGGGUGGCAGCAGUGAGGAAUAUUGGUCAAUGGGCGCGACCCUGAUCCAGCCAAGCCGCGUGAGCGAUGAAGGUUCUCUGGAUCGUCAACCUCAUCUACAAGGGAAUAAAGUGUGCGACGUGUCCUAUUUUGUAUGUACCUUAUGACUAAGGAUCGGCUAACUCCGUGCCAGCAGCCGCGGUAAUACGGAGGGUCCGAGCGUUAUCCGGCUGUAUUGGGUUUAAAGGGUGCGUAGGCGGCCUGUUAAGUCAGCAGUGAAAGUCCGUGGCUCAACCAUAGAAUUGCAGUUGAAACUGGGGGGCUGGAGUAUGUGUGAGGCAGGCGGAAUGCGUGGUGUAGCGGUGAAAUGCUUAGAUAUUACGCAGAACCCCGAUGGCGAAGGCAGCCU